UUGAACGCUGGCGGCAGGCCUAACACAUGCAAGUCGAGCGGUAGCACAGAGAGCUUGCUCUCGGGUGACGAGCGGCGGACGGGUGAGUAAUGUCUGGGAAACUGCCUGAUGGAGGGGGAUAACUACUGGAAACGGUAGCUAAUACCGCAUAAUGUCGCAAGACCAAAGUGGGGGACCUUCGGGCCUCAUGCCAUCAGAUGUGCCCAGAUGGGAUUAGCUAGUAGGUGGGGUAACGGCUCACCUAGGCGACGAUCCCUAGCUGGUCUGAGAGGAUGACCAGCCACACUGGAACUGAGACACGGUCCAGACUCCUACGGGAGGCAGCAGUGGGGAAUAUUGCACAAUGGGCGCAAGCCUGAUGCAGCCAUGCCGCGUGUGUGAAGAAGGCCUUCGGGUUGUAAAGCACUUUCAGCGGGGAGGAAGGCGUUAAGGUUAAUAACCUUGGCGAUUGACGUUACCCGCAGAAGAAGCACCGGCUAACUCCGUGCCAGCAGCCGCGGUAAUACGGAGGGUGCAAGCGUUAAUCGGAAUUACUGGGCGUAAAGCGCACGCAGGCGGUCUGUCAAGUCGGAUGUGAAAUCCCCGGGCUCAACCUGGGAACUGCAUUCGAAACUGGCAGGCUAGAGUCUUGUAGAGGGGGGUAGAAUUCCAGGUGUAGCGGUGAAAUGCGUAGAGAUCUGGAGGAAUACCGGUGGCGAAGGCGGCCCCCUAGACAAAGACUGACGCUCAGGUGCGAAAGCGUGGGGAGCAAACAGGAUUAGAUACCCUGGUAGUCCACGCCGUAAACGAUGUCGAUUUGGAGGUUGUGCCCUUGAGGCGUGGCUUCCGGAGCUAACGCGUUAAAUCGACCGCCUGGGGAGUACGGCCGCAAGGUUAAAACUCAAAUGAAUUGACGGGGGCCCGCACAAGCGGUGGAGCAUGUGGUUUAAUUCGAUGCAACGCGAAGAACCUUACCUGGUCUUGACAUCCACAGAACUUAGCAGAGAUGCUUUGGUGCCUUCGGGAACUGUGAGACGGGUGCUGCAUGGCUGUCGUCAGCUCGUGUUGUGAAAUGUUGGGUUAAGUCCCGCAACGAGCGCAACCCUUAUCCUUUGUUGCCAGCGGUUAGGCCGGGAACUCAAAGGAGACUGCCAGUGAUAAACUGGAGGAAGGUGGGGAUGACGUCAAGUCAUCAUGGCCCUUACGACCAGGGCUACACACGUGCUACAAUGGCAUAUACAAAGAGAAGCGACCUCGCGAGAGCAAGCGGACCUCAUAAAGUAUGUCGUAGUCCGGAUUGGAGUCUGCAACUCGACUCCAUGAAGUCGGAAUCGCUAGUAAUCGUAGAUCAGAAUGCUACGGUGAAUACGUUCCCGGGCCUUGUACACACCGCCCGUCACACCAUGGGAGUGGGUUGCAAAAGAAGUAGGUAGCUUAACCUUCGGGAGGGCGCUUACCACUUUGUGAUUCAUGACUGGGGUG
rnacentral:rRNA from 1 species